rnacentral:rRNA from 3 species
GUUAUAGGGUCAAGCGAACAAGUGCAUGUGGUGGAUGCCUUGGCGAUCACAGGCGAUGAAGGACGCG